UACGGAGGGUGCAAGCGUUAUCCGGAUUCACUGGGUUUAAAGGGUGCGUAGGAGGGCAGGUAAGUCAGUGGUGAAAUCUCCGAGCUUAACUUGGAACUGCCGUUGAUACUAUCUGCCUUGAAUAUUGUGGAGGUGAGCGGAAUAUGUCAUGUAGCGGUGAAAUGCUUAGAUAUCAGGAAGAACACCCGUGGCGAAGGCGGUUCUCUGGGACGGUACUGACGCUGAGACGCGAAAGCGUGGGGAGCGAACAGG
rnacentral:rRNA from 1 species